GUGUACGUAUUAUAAUUCUUCAUUCUGACCCCUUUAUGUUGGUUUUGUCAGCACCACUGAACUGUCGUCAGCACAACCGCUAUCGUAUUGCGCGUCAGUUGUCAUCUUUUCAUAACUGCGAGUAACGCUUUCCGUUGACACCCAUGCAUAUCUGGCAAAGUUCAUUAAGGGAAAAUAAUCCGAACUGCAGCGAGGGGUACUGUAAGUGCUGGCUAACUGCUGCGCAGUCUAUAACUACCUGACGGUGAACAUAACUCGAAAAUGUGCUUGCAGCGAUCCCGGCUUGUUGUGGCAAAGCGCUCGGCAUUAGGCAUUCAGCUUUUGCAACCUGACUGACCUUGCAAGGUGGCAACAUCUUAUUCCCAAUGUCCAAGACGGAACCGCAUUGAUGCCAUGUCAUGCUUUCGUGGCAUACAGGUGCCCAAC
rnacentral:lncRNA from 1 species